rnacentral:tRNA from 1 species
AGCGGGGUAGAGGAAUUGGUCAACUCAUCAGGCUCAUGACCUGAAGACUGCAGGUUCGAAUCCUGUCACUGUGG